rnacentral:rRNA from 1 species
AUUAGCUAGUAGGUGAGGUAAAGGCUCACCUAGGCGAUGAUCAGUAGCUGGUCUGAGAGGAUGAUCAGCCACACUGGAACUGAGAGACGGUCCAGACUCCUACGGGAGGCAGCAGUGGGGAAUUUUGGACAAUGGGCGCAAGCCUGAUCCAGCCAUUCCGCGUGAGUGAAGAAGGCCUUCGGGUUGUAAAGCUCUUUCGGCAGGGAAGAAAAGGUUCUGGUUAAUAACUGGAACUGCUGACGGUACCUGAAGAAGAAGCAACGGCUAACUACGUGCCAGCAGCCGCGGUAAUACGUGGGGUGCGAGCGUUAAUCGGAAUUACUGGGCGUAAGGGGUGCGCAGGCGGCUCUGUAAGUCUGACGUGAAAUCCCCGGGCUUAACCUGGGAACUGCGUUGGAAACUGUAGAGCUAGAGUGUAGCAGAGGGGGGUAGAAUUCCACGUGUAGCAGUGAAAUGCGUAGAGAUGUGGAGGAAUACCGAUGGCGAAGGCAGCCCCCUGGGUUAACACUGACGCUCAGGCACGAAAGCGUGGGUAGCAAACAGGAUUAGAUACCCUGGUAGUCCACGCCCUAAACGAUGUCAACUAGUUGUUGGGGAGGGAGACCUCCUUGGUAACGCAGCUAACGCGUGAAGUUGACCGCCUGGGGAGUACGGUCGCAAGAUUAAAACUCAAAGGA